rnacentral:rRNA from 1 species
UACAGAGGGUGCAAGCGUUAAUCGGAAUUACUGGGCGUAAAGCGUGCGUAGACGGUUAUGUAAGUCGGGUGUGAAAGCCCCGGGCUCAACCUGGGAAUUGCAUUCGAGACUGUGUAGCUAGGGUACGGAAGAGGGAAGCGGAAUUUCAGGUGUAGCGGUGAAAUGAGUAGAUAUCUGAAGGAACACCAGUGGCGAAGGCGGCUCACUGGACCGGUUCUGACGCUGAGGCGCGAAAGCGUGGGGAGCAAACGGG